rnacentral:rRNA from 1 species
UGUACACACCGCCCGUCGCUCCUACCGAUUUCGAGUGGUCCGGUGAACCUUCUGGACUGUGUUUAUCCUUGAGAUAAAUACGGGAAGUUAAGUAAACCUUAUCACUUAGAGGAAGGAGAAGUCGUAACAAGGUUUCCGUAGGUGAACCUGCGGAAGGAUCAUUA